rnacentral:misc_RNA from 1 species
GAUGAAGAACGUAGCGAAAUGCGAUAAGUAGUGUGAAUUGCAGAAUUCAGUGAAUCAUCGAAUCUUUGAACGCACAUUGCGCCCCUUGGUAUUCCAUGGGGCAUGCCUGUUCGAGCGUCAUUUGUACCUUCAAGCUUUGCUUGGUGUUGGGUGUUUGUCCAUUCUCUUGCAGAGGGACUCGCCUUAAAGUAAUUGGCAGCCAGUGUUUUGGUUUUGAAGCGCAGCACAAGUCGCGAUUCAAAGCUAUACGCCCGCUUCCACAAGCCUUCUUCACUUUUGACCUCGGAUCAGGUAGGGAUACCCGCUGAACUUAAGCAUAUCAAUAAGCGGAGGA